CUGGACUUCUUCCUCAGCCAUAUAAUCACAGAACGGUUCGGGUUGGAAGGGACCUUUAAUGAUCAUCUAGUCCAACCCCCCUGCCAUGGGCAGGGACGUCUUUAACUAGACCAGGUUACUCAAAGCCCCAUCCAACCUGGCCUUGAACACUGCCAGGGAUGGGGCAUCCACAACUUCUCUGGGCAACCUGUUCCAGCGUCUCACCUCCCUCACCAUAAAGAAUUUCUUCCUUACGUCCAAUGUAAAUCUACCCUCUUUCAGUUUAAAACCAUUGUCCCUUGUCCUGUCACUAAUGACCUCGGCAAAAAGUCUCUCUUCACCUAUAUAG